rnacentral:piRNA from 1 species
CCGUUCUAGCCUGAGGCUGCAUAGU